rnacentral:sRNA from 1 species
AACCGAGUUAUGUGCCACCAGUGACGC